rnacentral:rRNA from 1 species
UACAUGGGGUGCAAACGUUGCUCGGAAUUAUUGGGCGUAAAGCGCACGUAGGUGGUUGUUAUGUCGGAUGUGAAAGCCCUCGGCUCAACUGAGGAAGUGCAUCCGAAACUGGCAAGCUAGAGUAUGUAAGAGGUCGCGGAAUUCCCGGUGUAGAGGUGAAAUUCGUAGAUAUCGGGAGGAACACCGGUGGCGAAGGCGGCGACCUGGGACAAUACUGACACUGAGGUGCGAAAGCGUGGGAGCAACAGG